GCGCACGUGCCCUUCCUAACACACAGCCCAGCCGGCCCCCCGCUUCCGGGGAGCAGGCAGACCCUCGACUCCCAUCACUGGAGCCGGCCCAGAACCUUCCUACCAACCAGAGCCCGGGAGUCUCCACGUGCCCGGCCUGGGUGUUUCCGUUUGAACGGCGGUGUCAUUUGCUUAGAGACGGGACUCGGACUCACAUCCAUCCGACACGGAGGCUGCGCCUCCAGCCGGCAUCCUUCGGCCUCGAAGCUGGCGGCCACCUGGAGACCGGAAGCGGCAGAGCAGAGAGACAGCUGGACCGCCGCAGAUCCCUGCGCCUCCUGGAGUCCUCUGAUGCCCUCAGCCCUCCUCGCCCUCCGGUGGCUGCCCACUGCUCCGAGGACAAAGCCCAGACCGAGGCCUCUCACGCCCUCCCUGCCUCCCGGAAGGGUCUGCUGACCCCGCCUGCCUCUCUUCCGUCCUGCCGCAGCAGCCUUCUUCUCUGUUGCUCUAGCACGCAGUCCAUCCCCGCCUCAGGGCGUCUGCGCUUGCUAAUCCCUCAUCUGGAAAGUUCUUCGCUCAAAUGGCCAGUAGCUGGUUCUGCUCUGCCUUGCCUUCGCUGAGAGGGUCCCUCCCAGGAGGCACACCCCCUGAUUGGCCUGCUCCUCCAGGUGCCUGCUCAAUCCCUUCAGGGCAGGAAGCUCGACCUGCCAUUGGCUUGUUGAUUUAUGAAGCACCCUCUUCCUGACCUUCCCCUCAGCGCAGGCCGGCAGAUGGCGAAGCCCCUGUGUGUCUGUCAUGGAGCAGAGCCUGCCGGCUGCAGGAAGGACCACUGGCCUCUUUCUACACCACGAGCUGCUGAUGAACGGCUUGGACUUUCUCACUUGCUUACAUCUCGUCUUCAGCAGAAAAUUUCAUUGCCAAAAACUAUGUUAAAUUUCUCAAGCCUGAGCCCACGCCAGGGACCCCAGGACCCCGGAAUUCAGGAUUCUCAUGAAGGGGCCCUAAAAAGUGACAUAACGCGCAGGACGCCUGGCUUGUUUAUGACAGCGACUUUCCACGCUCCCCCUCGUGUGUCUGGCUAAGAUGAUAUCAGAAUUCAAAGACUCGGGAGAGCAGAAGCUGUAAAAAAUAAUCUUCUAUUAAGCCCCACGCUGCCCCAAAUGCAGUGGCAUUUGGAAGACGAGACCAACGCCGUUCCUUUGGAGAUAGCAGCUAUUUUCCAAUUGUACUGAUAAAAAAGGAAGACAUGAAGUAAAGUGACAUUUACGUGCUAGGAG
ensembl:lncRNA